rnacentral:rRNA from 1 species
UACGUAGGGUCCAAGCGUUGUCCGGAUUUAUUGGGCGUAAAGAGCUCGUAGGCGGCUUAGUAAGUCGGAUGUGAAAACUCGGGGCUCAACCCCGAGACGCCAUCCGAUACUGCUGUGGCUUGAGUCUGGUAGGGGAACACGGAAUUCCUGGUGUAGCGGUGAAAUGCGCAGAUAUCAGGAGGAACACCGAUGGCGAAGGCAGGUCUCUGGGCCACUACUGACGCUGAGAAGCGAAAGCAUGGGGAGCGAACAGG